rnacentral:rRNA from 1 species
ACAACCUGCCUCUCGACUGGGGGAGUAGCAGCUGGAAACGGCUUGGUAAUACCGCAUCGCGUUACAAUGUGCCGCAUGACACAUUGAAGAAAGAUUUAUCGGUGAGAGAUGGGUCCGCGUCUGAUUAGCCAGUUGGCGGGGUAACGGCCCACCAAAGCGACGAGUCAGUAGCCGGCCUGAGAGGGCGGACGGCCACAUUGGGAACUGAGACACGGCCCAGACUCCUACGGGAGGCAGCAGUGGGGGAUAUUGCACAAUGGGCGCAAGCCUGAUGCAGCGACGCCGCGUGAAGUGAAGAAGUAUUUCGGUAUGUAAAGCUCUAUCAGCAGGGAAGAAAGGCCCGCAAGGGAGAUGACGGUACCUGACUAAGAAGCCCCGGCUAACUACGUGCCAGCAGCUGC